AUUGAACGCUGGCGGCAUGCCUUACACAUGCAAGUCGAACGGUAACAGGUCUUCGGAUGCUGACGAGUGGCGAACGGGUGAGUAAUACAUCGGAACGUGCCUAGUAGUGGGGGAUAACUACUCGAAAGAGUGGCUAAUACCGCAUGAGAUCUACGGAUGAAAGCAGGGGAUCGCAAGACCUUGUGCUACUAGAGCGGCCGAUGGCAGAUUAGGUAGUUGGUGGGAUAAAAGCUUACCAAGCCGACGAUCUGUAGCUGGUCUGAGAGGACGAUCAGCCACACUGGGACUGAGAAACGGCCCAGACUCCUACGGGAGGCAGCAGUGGGGAAUUUUGGACAAUGGGCGAAAGCCUGAUCCAGCAAUGCCGCGUGCAGGAUGAAGGCCUUCGGGUUGUAAACUGCUUUUGUACGGAACGAAAAGCCCUGGGUUAAUACCCUGGGGUCAUGACGGUACCGUAAGAAUAAGCACCGGCUAACUACGUGCCAGCAGCCGCAGUAA
rnacentral:rRNA from 1 species